rnacentral:misc_RNA from 1 species
UCGAAUCUCACAACGAGCAGACCGCGCACAUGUAUAUGCCGCACGGGGCUCCCGAUGGACAGGUGCCUGCGCGCCUCCCGUCGUCGCCCCGCACCCGCCUGACCCUCGCGCGAGCGAGCGUGCUAGGCGGGGACAACAACGAAACCACGGCGCGGAAAAGGCGCCAAGGAUCACAAACGCGGAGCGCCGCCCCCUUCGUGCACCCGUUUGCGGCGUGCCGUUCGUGGGAUGUGCGUCUCCUGAGAUUGAAUACGAAAAAAAAGAU